UCUCACUGAAGCCUUGCCAUAUGUCACUGGGGCAUCUCGGUUGUGCAGAGAGGAGCAAAGAAAGGCCUGGCCUCCACCUGGAAGUGAAGCCGAAUGGCGAGCUGUGUCUCUCCUCUGUGACAGGCACUGGCUAAGUGGUGGUCCUUUACUGACCUAUAUAAAUAGGAUUCUUGGUCUAUACCCAGCCUGUGAUUUCAAAAAUACCCAUGUAGGUUC